rnacentral:piRNA from 1 species
AAUGGGACAAUGUUGUAUCACUG